UACGUAGGGGGCGAGCGUUGUCCGGAUUCAUUGGGCGUAAAGCGCGCGUAGGCGGCUCCGCAAGUCGGCCGUGAAAUCUCCAGGCUCAACUUGGAGGGGUCGGGCGAGACUGCGGAGCUCGAGGUGGGCAGAGGGCAGUGGAAUUCCGGGUGUAGUGGUGGAAUGCGUAGAGAUCCGGAGGAACACCAGUGGCGAAGGCGGCUGCCUGGGCCUGGCCUGACGCUGAGGCGCGAAAGCCAGGGGAGCGAACGGG
rnacentral:rRNA from 1 species